rnacentral:rRNA from 1 species
UACGAAGGGGGCGAGCGUUGUUCGGAAUUACUGGGCGUAAAGGCGCGCAGGCGGCCUUAGAAGUCAGAUGUGAAAGCCCCGGGCUCAACCUGGGAAUGGCAUUUGAUACUCUGAGGCUGGAGUACGGGAGAGGAGAGUGGAAUUCCCAGUGUAGAGGUGAAAUUCGUAGAUAUUGGGAAGAACACCGGUGGCGAAGGCGGCUAUCUGGACCGUAACUGACGCUGAGGCGCGAAAGCGUGGGGAGCAAACAGG